GGAGAGAUGCCGGAGUGGUUGAACGGAGCUGUCUCGAAAACAGUUUAUUACGUAGUGGUACGUGGGUUCGAAUCCCACUCUCUUCGCCA
rnacentral:tRNA from 1 species